rnacentral:rRNA from 1 species
CUUGCUCUCUGGGUGACGAGCGGCGGACGGGUGAGUAAUGUCUGGGAAACUGCCUGAUGGAGGGGGAUAACUACUGGAAACGGUAGCUAAUACCGCAUAACGUCUUCGGACCAAAGUGGGGGACCUUCGGGCCUCACGCCAUCAGAUGUGCCCAGAUGGGAUUAGCUAGUAGGUGGGGUAAUGGCUCACCUAGGCGACGAUCCCUAGCUGGUCUGAGAGGAUGACCAGCCACACUGGAACUGAGACACGGUCCAGACUCCUACGGGAGGCAGCAGUGGGGAAUAUUGCACAAUGGGCGCAAGCCUGAUGCAGCCAUGCCGCGUGUGUGAAGAAGGCCUUCGGGUUGUAAAGCACUUUCAGCGAGGAGGAAGGGUGGUGUGUUAAUAGCGCAUCACAUUGACGUUACUCGCAGAAGAAGCACCGGCUAACUCCGUGCCAGCAGCCGCGGUAAUACGGAGGGUGCAAGCGUUAAUCGGAAUUACUGGGCGUAAAGCGCACGCAGGCGGUUUGUUAAGUCAGAUGUGAAAUCCCCGCGCUUAACGUGGGAACUGCAUUUGAAACUGGCAAGCUAGAGUCUUGUAGAGGGGGGUAGAAUUCCAGGUGUAGCGGUGAAAUGCGUAGAGAUCUGGAGGAAUACCGGGUGGCGA